GGUGGGAGAGGGAGAGGGAGUGGGGGUGGGGAAGUUGGUUCCAUGUACGUACUCAUACUUUGAUUUGUGGCACACUUGCCAAAUAGGUUGGACACCACUGAUUCCUAGCGUAACCUGAUGUGUUAUGUUGUAUCAAAUCAUGGUAGUGCCUCUGAAAUUCUGUCACCAAGUCUUGAAUAUCCAGUUAGGUUAUGAAUUCACCUUAAAAUACUUUGAGGGUACAGAUAAAGACUGGACAAGCAGGGUUUGUUUUUGUUUUCUCCCAGACUUGUUGCUAGUUAUAUCUUUUGGGGUCAAUCCAUUGUGUUAACAAAACACAUUGUCAUAUCUGUCAGUUGAAGUUACACUUUUCUGUUCUUGUCUAAUGUUCUGUCGCUUACAAGUAUGUAACCGUACAUAAUUCAGUCAUGGAACUCCUGAGCCAAAUCUGUCCCCAAAGUUGUUUUUCUGUGACAGAUUCCACUCCUUUUUAUGUUUUGUUUUGUUUUGGUCCACUUUCUCUAUACUGGAAGGACUCUAUGUUGUGGGUUGUUUUUUUUAAAUAAAACAAUUACUUAGCAUUGCUUUGCUUCAGUUUGAAGUGUAACUUUCACUAAUAACUGCAAUAAAUACGCUUUUGCUCC